AGAGUUUGAUCAUGGCUCAGAUUGAACGCUGGCGGCAUGCCUUACACAUGCAAGUCGAACGGCAGCACGGGAGCUUGCUCCUGGUGGCGAGUGGCGAACGGGUGAGUAAUAUAUCGGAACGUACCCUAGAGUGGGGGAUAACGCAGCGAAAGUUGCGCUAAUACCGCAUACGAUCUACGGAUGAAAGUGGGGGAUCGCAAGACCUCAUGCUCAUGGAGCGGCCGAUAUCUGAUUAGCUAGUUGGUAGGGUAAAAGCCUACCAAGGCUUCGAUCAGUAGCUGGUCUGAGAGGACGACCAGCCACACUGGAACUGAGACACGGUCCAGACUCCUACGGGAGGCAGCAGUGGGGAAUUUUGGACAAUGGGCGCAAGCCUGAUCCAGCAAUGCCGCGUGAGUGAAGAAGGCCUUCGGGUUGUAAAGCUCUUUUGUCAGGGAAGAAACGGUGGACUCUAAUACAGAUCACUAAUGACGGUACCUGAAGAAUAAGCACCGGCUAACUACGUGCCAGCAGCCGCGGUAAUACGUAGGGUGCAAGCGUUAAUCGGAAUUACUGGGCGUAAAGCGUGCGCAGGCGGUUUGGUAAGACAGAUGUGAAAUCCCCGGGCUCAACCUGGGAAUUGCAUUUGUGACUGCCCGGCUAGAGUGUGUCAGAGGGGGGUAGAAUUCCACGUGUAGCAGUGAAAUGCGUAGAGAUGUGGAGGAAUACCGAUGGCGAAGGCAGCCCCCUGGGAUAACACUGACGCUCAUGCACGAAAGCGUGGGGAGCAAACAGGAUUAGAUACCCUGGUAGUCCACGCCCUAAACGAUGUCUACUAGUUGUUGGGUCUUAAUUGACUUAGUAACGCAGCUAACGCGUGAAGUAGACCGCCUGGGGAGUACGGUCGCAAGAUUAAAACUCAAAUGAAUUGACGG
rnacentral:rRNA from 1 species